AAUAAUCUGGAUUACCUGCUGUUUAAGAACAAUUCAUCCUCGGAAACCGAGCUCCGAAUCGGCUGCUUGAAGCAAAGGCUUCUUACAUGCCAACAAUAUGUUCACAAGCUUGCUCUAACCCAAGUGCGAUGGAACCCGAAUUUGCCGAGAUAUAGCCAUCGCUACAUAUCACCACCUCUGCCAGACGUUGAGAGGUCAAAUGGAUGUUUAAGGGAAUCUUAUCAGACAGCUGCUGCUAAAACCACAAAGAAGCAAGAAUUUAAGGCAGAGGGGGUGCCACUCUUCUUGUACACAAGCGCCCACAAGCCAUCUCUAGCUAGAAAAUCACCACCAGAGACUGAUGCCAAGAAAACAGAUCAUACCAAUUCAACUUCAGUAUUGCCUGUUCGUGAAGGCCUACCCAUUCUAUCAAAGCAGCAAAAUCCUCCUUUUCAUUUCCAGUUAAAUCACAAGCUCAGACGAAAAAAAGCUAAAAUUAGUGCGGAACAAUGACAUCCUGUCACUCAUCCGACGCAGCAAACGAGCUGCUGAAUUGCUUAAAGGACUCCAUUUAGAUCAUUAGAUUUUCUCUUCAUAAAGAAUUUUCUUUGCUUUUUGGGAGGUUGAGGGUGCUUCUGCCUUUGUAUUUUAUGAAUUGAUGUGUGGGUGUAGAAUGAAGUUCAGUAUCAAUUUUAUGUGAUACUGAGAAUUAAUCACUUUCUUUCUAAUUCUUAAA